rnacentral:lncRNA from 1 species
ACCGCCCCCCUUUGGUUUUCACACCCCAUAUUCCAUGACAAAAAUAUUUUGGCAUGAGAAAUAAUUUGCAUGAGAGUUCUAAGUGUAGAUAUGAGAGAGGGAGGUUGUUAUGGCAGGUAGUUGGUUGAUGGCUCAUUCACCUUAUCUCUUGAUCUCUUUUCUAGUUUAAAUUUAAUUCAAAUCAAAGAUAGAGAUAAGAAGAAAAACUAAUCUAAUUUUUAUGAAAUCUUUUAGUGAUGCCUAACAACCUCUCCCUUUGUGCAUUGAGAAAGGAAUAGCGUGAGAAAUCAUAUCUGAUUUCUCACGCCAUUUCUUAUUUCUUGGCAAUAAUUUUUUAGACGCCAAAAUUGUUUGGCGUGUGAUAGGGGGCACCCCCUCUUCCAAGAAACCCUAGUCCUCCCUCUCAUAAAUACGGACUAAUUUUUAGACCCUAAAGAGAAUGAACAAAGUCAAAAAAAUUAAGAGAAAAAUAUUCUGAAAAAUUUGAGUCCUCUUCCUCCUUCUCUUCCUCCUCAUUCUCCCUAGUUCUCAAGAGAGUCUAUGAGAUCUGUGAGAGAAUAAUCUCAGCCAUCAAAGAGAAGUCUUUUGCAAGGGAGCUAGCACCCUAAUGAAGACACUUACCUCUUGUUGAAAUGAGUUCUCAUGUAGGAACCUGUGGAGGCCGGAUGCGUGGGCGGCUAAAAGAAUCCGUUUAGAUCCAUGAUCAUUGGCUGCAGUGUAGAUCGACUCGUAUAAAGGUAUUGAGAUUCGAUCUCAAUAUUUUCUCUUUUAUUUUUCAAAUUAUGUGCAUAUCAUAAAUUCAGGGGCUUGGAUAGUAUAAAUUAGAUCUAUUGCAUGUGGGGUUAAAGGGGUUUAACUUAGAUCAGUUUUUCACUGUGAUAAAAAAUCAUUUUGAAAUUCAUACAUGCAACCUACCCGAUUUCUAACAGUGGUAUCAAAGUCACUAAUUUUUUUUGACAUGUAUAAUCUUAUUUCUGAUUUAGAUCUAAAAAUAUGAGUGGUUUAAAAUUGAUCUUGUGCUGAUAUAAGGUUGUCCUAAUAUAAGGUUAACCCCUAUAUUAAAAAGGUUGUGCUAGCACAAGAUUA